GCCAUUUCAAAAGCACCGUAGGAGCCUGUGGCUGCAAGCAUCAGAACCGACUGGACCGAGGAUCAUCUAGAAUACCCGCGUUUGCAGUGCUCAUUUAAUAUCUGGUGAGAUGUCACUGGACCACGAGAGUCCUGAUUUUGUGCCCUCUAUUUUUUCAUACACUAAACAAAACCAAAACCCCGAUGCAAAGAUCAAAAGGUACCAAAGAAAAAAGAAAUGGAGUGAAAGACUUCUGGUUGCUCCACCAAACCAACCUGCUCCUGCUCCUGGAACUCCUGAGGAAUCACCGGCAUGGAUCA